rnacentral:rRNA from 1 species
AGCGAACGCUGGCGGCAGGCUUAACACAUGCAAGUCGAACGCCCGUAGCAAUACGGGAGUGGCAGACGGGUGAGUAACGCGUGGGAACAUGCCCUUUGGUUCGGAAUAACUCAGGGAAACUUGAGCUAAUACCGGAUAAGCCCGAGAGGGGAAAGAUUUAUCGCCGAAGGAUUGGCCCGCGUCCGAUUAGCUAGUUGGUGAGGUAAUGGCUCACCAAGGUGACGAUCGGUAGCUGGUCUGAGAGGAUGAUCAGCCACACUGGGACUGAGACACGGCCCAGACUCCUACGGGAGGCAGCAGUGGGGAAUAUUGGACAAUGGGGGCAACCCUGAUCCAGCCAUGCCGCGUGAGUGAUGAAGGCCCUAGGGUUGUAAAGCUCUUUCGGCGGGGACGAUAAUGACGGUACCCGCAGAAGAAGCCCCGGUUAACUUCGUGCCAGCCGCCGCAGUAAAAC